ACCUGGGAUAGCUCAGUUGGUAGAGCAUGAGACUCUUAAUCUCAAGGUUGUGGGUUUGAGCCCCAUGUUGGGUA